rnacentral:misc_RNA from 1 species
CCGAGUGAAAACUCCCAAACCCCAUGUGAACCUUACCUAUCGUUGCUCCGGCGGAGUCGCCCCGGCGCCCUCGGGCCCGGAUCCAGGCGCCCGCCGGAGACCCCAAACCCUCAUGUUUUUAGUGGUUUUCUCCUCUGAGUGACACAUAAACAAAUAAAUAA